GCGCCCGUAGCUCAGGUGGAUAGAGUAACGGAAUCCGAGUCCGGAGGCCGCAGGUUCGAAUCCUGCCGGGCGCGCCA
rnacentral:tRNA from 6 species